rnacentral:rRNA from 1 species
GACGAACGCUGGCGGCGUGCCUAAUACAUGCAAGUAGAACGCUGAAGGAGGAGCUUGCUUCUCUGGAUGAGUUGCGAACGGGUGAGUAACGCGUAGGUAACCUGCCUGGUAGCGGGGGAUAACUAUUGGAAACGAUAGCUAAUACCGCAUAAUAGUAGAUGUUGCAUGACAUUUGCUUAAAAGGUGCAAUUGCAUCACUACCAGAUGGACCUGCGUUGUAUUAGCUAGUUGGUGAGGUAACGGCUCACCAAGGCGACGAUACAUAGCCGACCUGAGAGGGUGAUCGGCCACCCUGGGACUGAGACACGGCCCAGACUCCUACGGGAGGCAGCAGUAGGGAAUCUUCGGCAAUGGAUGGAAGUCUGACCGAGCAACGCCGCGUGAGUGAAGAAGGUUUUCGGAUCGUAAAGCUCUGUUGUAAGAGAAGAACGAGUGUGAGAGUGGAAAGUUCACACUGUGACGGUAUCUUACCAGAAAGGGACGGCUAACUACGUG